AUUGCCCCAGUAACGGCGAGUGAAGCGGCAACAGCUCAAAUUUGAAAUCUGGCCCCCCCCGGGGGGCCCGAGUUGUAAUUUGCAGAGGAUGCUUUGGGCGAGGCGCCUUCCGAGUUCCCUGGAACGGGACGCCACAGAGGGUGAGAGCCCCGUCUGGUCGGACGCCGAGCCUCUGUAAAGCUCCUUCGACGAGUCGAGUAGUUUGGGAAUGCUGCUCAAAAUGGGAGGUAUAUGUCUUCUAAAGCUAAAUACCGGCCAGAGACCGAUAGCGCACAAGUAGAGUGAUCGAAAGAUGAAAAGCACCUUGAAAAGGGGGUUAAACAGUACGUGAAAUUGUUGAAAGGGAAGCGCUCGUGACCAGACUUGGGGCGGGCGGAUCAGCCGGCGUCUCGCCGGCGCACUCCGCCCGUCCCAGGCCAGCAUCAGUUCGCGCCGGGGGACAAAGGCGGCGGGAACGUGGCUCCCCAGGGAGUGUUAUAGCCCGCCGCGCCAUGCCCCGGGGGCGGACUGAGGGCCGCGCAUCACUGCAAGGAUGCUGGCGUAAUGGUCACCAGCGACCCGUCUUGAAACACGGGCCAAGGAGUCGUCCUCGUAUGCGAGUGUUCGGGUGUCAAACCCCUACGCGGAAUGAAAGUGAACGUGGGUGAGAGCUUCGGCGCAUCAUCGACCGAUCCUGAUGUUCUCGGAUGGAUUUGAGUAGGAGCAUACGGGGCCGGACCCGAAAGAAGGUGAACUAUGCCUGUGUAGGGUGAAGCCAGAGGAAACUCUGGUGGAGGCUCGCAGCGGUUCUGACGUGCAAAUCGAUCGUCAAACAUGGGCAUGGGGGCGAAA
rnacentral:rRNA from 1 species